rnacentral:Y_RNA from 1 species
GGCUGGUCCGAAGGUAGUGAGAUCUCACAACGAUUGCUUACAUUCAAUUACUGGUCGACCUAUUUGUCUACCCCCCUUCACUACUGCACUUGACUAGUCUUGA